UACAGAGCGUGCGAGCGUUAAUCGGAAUUACUGGGCGUAAAGCGUGCGUAGACGGCUAUCUAAGUCGGGUGUGAAAGCCCCGGGCUCAACCUGGGAAUUGCAUUCGAGACUGAAUAGCUAGGGUACGGUAGAGGGAAGUGGAAUUUCCGGUGUAGCGGUGAAAUGCGUAGAUAUCGGAAGGAACAUCAGUGGCGAAAGCGACUUCCUGGACCAGUACCGACGUUCAGGCACGAAAGCGUGGGGAGCAAACAGG
rnacentral:rRNA from 1 species